CUCCGACGUCUGACAUCUACCAAUAAAUCAAAAUUAUUUAGAAAAUCUGCACCUAAAAUAGGAUGCGGAAUGUCAGCAAUGACAAAAACCCACUGAAAAUCUCGACGAAGAUUUAUGUCAAGGCGUAACGAAAUCUGACCGAAUGUGGCUAUUGGUGACGAGUCAAUAGCGUGCAAGGUAACAUUAGAUCGUUUUAGCUUGUCGGUUGUGAGACGCAGAGGCCAAAUGCUGCAGCAAGAACCAGUGUCCACCAUGAAGUAUUUCUUCGACACUAGAUCCUUAACGAAAAAUGCACGAUAACUAGAAAAUGAUGUGGAGGAGGUUGACGUGCUCAACUCCUCCGAAGCUAGUUUAAAUCUUUAUAGGUGCAUAUGUGCUUUCUCUCCAAAUUUGGAGUGAUACCAACACAGUCCGGACUUUGACUGUGUGGUACGUGAUGAUGAACGGCUGCGACUCCGCGAUCUUGAAAAUCGCUUGCCAUCGCGUCCAUUCUUUUGGUGAGGGUUUCUAUUUGUUUAGAAAGUCCCUCAAUUGAGGCUGAAGAAGUUUGUGAGCAGACACUAGCAGACCGUGACGGUGGUUGCACGGCAAAUUCAACCGUUUUAUCCGCCAUUGUUGCUAUCUGGUCCACGGAAUUGGACUCUAAAGCGGUUGCCAAAACAGUUUGUAUAUAUGCGGGCAACCUUCUCUAACAACUUGAUGCGACCAACCUUCUGUUAGGAAAUGAUUUAUAUAUAAAAGAACUUUCCAUGAGGGUAACCGACUCCGCUCCAAAAAGGUGUUCUUAAAGAUGGGAACUGAAAAACCACAUUCUGUUACCCUUUGUCUCCUACGACGAACCAUCUUCCUACAACGAAAUAUAUUUUUUCCAUUUCGCAGAACACACGGUGAAUUGCAUGUUGGGCAAUUCACAUUUCUUGGGAUUACCCCAUGUUCGCGAAAAAAUUCUAAUGCCGAGUCAUCUUUAUAUUGAAAUCUAGAAACCCCUCCAUAUAACGUUAAUUCAUACGCAAUGCACGCUGUCAUCACGCAGAUUUAAGUGAUCGAAGUCAUGCAUCCUGUGGUGUGGGUAACAAUGCAAGCUUUGUUCUUUUUCGCUGCGGCUCUUUUGCGGCAGAUUUGCAACCCCUUUUGAGGUGUGCUUCACUGCCACAUAUGUAGCAGCGUGGUCCUCUGCCCUCGACGACCACGUACAACUUGUGGUCCUCUGAUAUAUAUAUCCGAGUGGGUAUUUUCUUUAUGUCCUCUUGGUUUAUAUGUAGUAAAAAUUCUACUUUUUUUCCCACCCAGUUUUUGUGCUCCGUGACCGUAGUUUCUAAAAUUGUGAAAUCUUCCAUUUUCACACAUAAGGCCUUUACUAGCCAUAGAUUGUUGGCGUGGAGAGUGUAGUUGAACUGUCGACUAACCUCCGACGUCUGACAUCUACCAAUAAAUCAAAGUUAUUUAGAAAAUCCGCACCUAAAAUAGGAUGCGGAAUGUCAGCAAUGACAAAAACCCACUGAAAAUCUCGACGAAGAUUUAUGUCAAGGCGUAACGAGAUCUGACCGAAUGUGGCUAUUGGUGACGAGUCAAUAGCGUGCAAGGUAACAUUAGAUCGUUUUGGCUUGUCAGUUGUGAGACGCAGAGGCCAAAUGCUGCAGCAAGAACCAGUGUCCACCAUGAAGUAUUUCUUCGACACUAGAUCCUUAACGAAAAAUGCACGAUAACUAGAAAAUGAUGUGGAGGAGGUUGACGUGCUCAACUCCUCCGAAGCUAGUUUAAAUCUUUAUAGGUGCAUGGGUGUAUGCACCUAUGUGCUUUUUCUCCAAAUUUGGAGUGAUACCAACACAGUCCGGACUUUGACUGUGUGGUACGUGAUGAUGAACGGCUGCGACUCCGCGAUCUUGAAAAUCGCUUGCCAUCGCGACACAUCGCGUCCAUCCUUUUGGUGAGACUUAAUAUUUGUUUAGAAAGUCCCUCGAUUGAGGCUGAAGAAGUUUGUGAGCAGACGCAAGCAGACCGUGACGGUGGUUGCACGGCAAAUUCAACCAUUUUAUCUACCAUAGUUGCUCUCUGGUCCACGGAAUUGGGCUCUAAAGCAGUUGCCAAAACAGUUUGUAUAUAUGCGGGCAACCUUGAAAAAAAAAUUUUCGGAAGGAGAGGAGCGUCUGCAGCCCUACCACUGAACUCUCUUAGGCGUCUCAAAAAUUCAGGCGGAGUCCUAUCUCCCAACUCCUCAUCCGCCAUCAAUUCAUUGAAGCGACUUUCCUCGCUUCUAGUAUUUCUCUUCUCCACUUCUAAUCUAACAGACGCAUAAGUGGCGUCUGGAGAAGGAUCCGUAAUAAGAUCUCUGGCAGUAGUUGCAAGUUGAGGAGGCAUACAACUAUAAAGAAUUUGCAACUGCUGAUCAGAAGAAACACUAUGUGCACCAAAAUAAGCCUCAAGUUGUGCAAACCAAAGUGCGGCAUCAGCCGUGAAAAUAGGUAAUGAUGCCAAAGACAUGUUCCUUUUUUUUAUUUUAACUAGAUGAUUCUGUCAACGGAAAGGUAAAUGACAAUGAAUCAAAGUUGAACAGGGGUGGAACAUUUUUUGCCUAAUUUGCCCCAUGACGGAUGCGGCGUAGACAGAGGUGAUCGAAGGAUUGUAGUCGCUUAAUAUCUUCCACCCUCAUCGGCCAUGACUCGCUGCUGUAAAGGAGAAUCGUUUGCCCUACUGCUCGGUAGAUCUGUAUUUUUGUGGUCCGUCAGAUUGGCGGCUUCAACCUGUCCUGUCCCUGCGUCUGUGGAAAAAUCUACGGCAAACAAGACGUUCUCCCAACGGGGAUAUACUUGCGGCUGGGGACCACUUGCGAACUUCCUAUUCCCAAGAUCCUUCAAACAUUCCUCCUGUUAAACCAGUGAAUGAUGGUUUUGUCUGUAGGUGAAUUUUGUCCAUGAGUUUGCCAAAAAUGACUUUGCCCUGAAACCACUGACUUCAACUCAGCGUGCCGCUACACACACACUGUGCUCUCUGCUCUACAGUUGCCAUGAUCGCUGUGGAGUGACUGGCCAGAUGUUCACGCAAAGGGGUCUCUCCAUGCAUCCACUAAUUUCCAGAAUAACACAGCAAUACACCAGAAAAUAUAAAUUCGCAGAAAAUUGUUUCAUUUACCUGAUAUUGGUAUGGGUUCCAUCUCAUAACGAAACAAAUCUAUUUUCAUCGCAAGGUGCAAACAAUUAUUGCCUUUAUCGGCAGAACCGUUUGCAAUAAAUUGUGGGCCCUCUCCAAGGUGACCCCUGGACCCAGCAUGGAUUUUCUUGACACCGUAAUGAAACAAAUCUAUUUUCAUCGCAAGGUGCAAACAAUUAUUGCCUUUAUCGGCAAAAUCUUUUGAAAUAAAUUGUGGGCCCUCUCAAAGGUGACCCCUGGACCCAGCAUGGAUUUUCUUGAAGCCAUAACGAAACAAAUCUAUUUUCAUCGCAAGGUGCAUACAAUUAUUGCCUUUAUCGGCAAAAUCUUUUGCUAUAAAUUGUGGGCCCUCUCCAAGGUGACCCCUGGACCCAGCAUGGAUUUUCUUGACACCAUAACGAAACAAAUCUAUUUUCAUCGCAAGGUGCUAACAAUUAUUGCCUUUAUCGGCAGAACCUUUUGCUAUAAAUUGUGGGCCCUCUCCAAGGUGACCCCUGGACCCAGCAUGGAUUUUCUUGGCACCAUAACGAAACAAAUCUAUUUUCAUCGCAAGGUGCAAACAAUUAUUGCCUUUAUCGGCAGAACGUUUUGCAGUAAAUUGUGGGCCCUCUCAAAGGUGCCUUUAUCGGCAGAACCUUUUGGGAUAAAUUUUAGUGGAAAUCUGAUGGUGAGCUUAGAUGAAUCUCGUAUCCAAAAAUGUUCCACGCUGCAUAAUUGGAGGAUACAUAAUUACCCACAACGAAUUGUUUAAUUUCGUCAUGUCUAAGGUCUUCAUCACUGAACACAAACACGGCCAUAUCAUCACCCUUAUUAAUGUACUUGCAGAGCUAUUGUAUGCAUCUCACCGAACUGCAGUACUCAAAAUUAAUGUGUACAUUAAGUGUUUUGGAAAGCAAAGGGUUGAAUGGAACGAUCCAGGCAUUAUCAACAUCGAAUGUUUUUAGCCGUUGUCUAAUUGUAGCUGUGCGGCCACCCAAACCUGGGUCACGCCUUCGGUACAUGGGAUAUCCGUCAUUCGUAGUGCAGGUUUGACCGCAAUAGUCUCUAGAGUACCGCUUCAAACAUCUUUUAUUCUUCAUGCAUGGACUUCUCGGAUUAAAGUCACCACAUGGACCGUGAAUCAUAUGCUUUGUCACACUGCUGUGCAGCUGAGGAUCAGCAUUUUGAUCGGGCAACUCAGCAGAUAUAAUUCUGUCAAUAUCCACAGGGUGGAUUCUAUCCUGACACCGGGCUAGCAUAUGAACGUGUGGAAGACCUCUCUUCUGCCAUUCCACAGUAUACAUCCAAGCAGACAGUGGGCCAAAAAUAUGCACAACCUUCAGUAAAAAUUGCAUUUUCAUCAACUUGACAUGAAAAACGCGCGCCACAAUGUCGUGUCCGUGCUCUGGCAGCUGCCCAGCAAACACAUUCUCUUUAAUCUUUGGCCAGGUAGAAUUGCAGGUAAAUGUAAUGAAGAGAUCCGGCUUUCCAAACUUACUGAGGUAUGUCAUUGCGUCCUGCAUUCGUUUAUUUCAUAUACCCAGGUGAGCCAAGAAAUGUUGAAGGAAGAAUAAUACGCUUAUUCAAAUAGUUUUCUUACCAAAGCCAUCUAAACCUCUUAUUGGUAG